CCAAAUAUUUUUAGUGAAAUUCACCAAGGACAUUUCCAACUCUGUUACACGAAUAAACCGGCAUGUGAAACCUCUGGUUCCUUGUCUGUUUCUCUCGACCUGAUCAUUCUCGUCCCGGAUCCGAGGGGACUCACGAAGGAAUCUCGGGGUCUCUUUCUGGGUACUGGAUACUGCCAACCAGCAGAAAGUUGGUGCUAUCCUGGAACCGGCUUGGACUGAUAAAAGAAACAGACUCUCUGUUGCAAUGGUGAAGGCUGAGCUUCAAGUCAGGCUAAACUUUCAGUUGUCCUGUACUGAGUUCAAGACAUUCAUUGAAAAUCAGCCAGGACUCAUAGCAGCAGCAAAGAAAAACACCAAAUAUAAAUGGAAGAUUAGCCAAGAGCAGCAGAGGCACAAGCAAAGCACACACCACACUCUAAGCAAUCAGGUGUCCACAACCAAAAACUGUUGGAAAUAAACCAAAAUACUGAAGACCUAGCCUAGUAAACUAGACCCACCCGCCUAGCGGCCAAAAAUAUUUUUGCCUAGCGAGUGGGUCUAGCCUCGCACCAUGUAAACAAAAACACUCCGGGCAUCAAAUCGUGCCCGCCAAUCACAACGCAAGGUUUUUGUUUGGAUUCUUUGGGCGGCCUUUUGCAGGAGUGACGACAAAGCUGCGCGACGCUGGAGAAAGCGCAGCAGGAAAGAUGGCUACGGCUAGUGAACAGCGCGCGUUUGACUCCGCUUUGGAAUCAGUUUUAGAAGAAUUAGACUUGGGGUUUUCGUUGAAACAUGAGCAGGAAGAGGCUCUCCGCUCAUUCCUUUUCAAGAAGGACGUUUUUGCUGUUUUGCCGACCGGCUAUGGCAAAAGUCUGAUCUACCAGCUAGCUCCGCUCGUAGCCAAAAGGAUGGGGCUAGUUUGUGCAGUACAAAGAAUUAAUAAACAGCUUUGAAACAUUACUUUUUGAUUGUUUCUUAUUUUCCCGUUAUUUUAAAUUUAAGGGAAAUUAUUUCACCAAACACCACUAAAUAAAAACUCUCAAAAACAGUUUAAGCAAACCCUUGAAAAACACUUGGGGAAAAAAAAUGACUAUGUUAUGUAUGUGGUACAGACUCCAAACUUCUUAAUAUCUAGAACAUGUUUAUUAAUUAAUACGCAUUUUGAAAAAUUAUUUAUUUCAAGGCCUCCCCCACUGCUUUCUGUCGCUCUGACUACGUCACAGUCACUGUUGCGCUGAUUGGUCAGAGCAUUGGCCUAUACGCACAGAGAAAGUUUGAAAGACAGUGGGUUGUUCCUCCUACCCGCUUCGGAAAUGUCUACGGAUCGAGGCCAGACUAAAUAUUCACAUUUAGUCUGGCUUGCCAGGCUACUGAAGACCUGCUAUAUUAUGUAAAGCAAUUAACUAAACAAAUAACUAGCAAAAGCGUCAUUUUUACUAAUUAGAGCAAUACAGUUUCAGCGUAGAAGGGCGAUUUUUGUCUUGGGUUAGAUGUGUGAAGGGCGCCGUUGCUUACAAGCAAAAAGGUCGAUUGGAUGGUCGAAAUGUCCAGGAUUUUUGUCAGACACAGGUGGCAACCCUAGCAGCCACCAUGGGGGGAAAAUUGUCUCAUCUCAUUAUCUGUAGCCGCUUUAUCCUUCUACAGGGUCGCAGGCAAGCUGGAGCCUAUCCCAGCUGACUACGGGCAAAAGGCGGGGUACACCCUGGACAAGUCGCCAGGUCAUCACAGGGCUGACACAUAGACAACCAUUCACACCUACGGUCAAUUUAGAGUCACCAGUUAACCUAACCUGCAUGGUCAAUUUAGAGUCACCAGUUAACCUAACCUGCAUGUCUUUGGACUGUGGGGGAAACCGAAGCACCCGGAGGAAACCCACGCGGACACGGGGAGAACAUGCAAACUCUACACAGAAAGGCCCUCGCCGGCCCCGGGGCUCGAACCCAGGACCUUCUUGCUGUGAGGCGACAGCGCUAACCACUACACCACCGGAAAACUGUAUUAUAUUAAUUGUAUUAUAAAAAUUGUAUUAUUGUAUUAAGAUACCCGGACCCCGAGAAAAAAAAAAAAAAAAACCACGGGAUUGGAUGUGGUUUAGCAUUCUACACAGAUUCUAGACAAUUUGGCCGGCUCAGUUUUGAUUUAUCCUCAUCCAGGUAUUUGCAAUCUCUGGGAGCUGUGUAAUGUAUCUUUAAUUGUUUUAGCAUUUAUAUAAGGCAUUACUGGAUAUGCACAAAAUAAUGAAACAACAAAUCAGUACUCUGGACAUGAACAGUUAGAACUGUGUUCCUGGUGUGCAUACAUGUCAAACCUUUGGUCAGUCAAAUCUGUAUAACCAACUUCCAAAGUCCUUAUUUCCCUUAUAAAAUCCUUAUAAGAUGCAAAUUAAAAUGAUUUACCUAAAAUUUGAAUGAUAAUUAACAAUGUUAAUUAACAAUGUUAAUGUUAAUCCCAGUUACUUUUUAGAAUCCUAGAAGAAUGAAUACAAAGCUUCAAUGUUUGACAAAAAACUACAAAGUGUAAAUGUUAUGUGCUCUUUUAUCCUCGUGGGAAUUGAUUAUAACUUUAUUUGUACGCCCGUAUACUAUGUUUAUUGAAUCAAAUCCGUAUAAAAUACGGACAUUUUGUAUAUUGUGCAUUUUAAUCUCAACGAAAGCUUCACUGAAUCGAUUCUUUAGAACAAACUCGCAUGCGUGUGAAUCAAUUUACUUGAUUCACUCUUGAUUCUUGACUCAGAAACUACGGAAACCUUAUUUGUAUUCCUGUUUUCAAAUUGUAAACAAUAAUCACACUUUCAUGCUGCAUGAAAUUAAAGCAUGAACUUUCCUCAACCAUUACGUGUGCAUGAACCCAACAAAUGCAGUCCGUGCGUCUGUAUCGAUUCGCUCGAUCGAGUCAUUUAUGUUUCGUCCCGAAGAAGAUCCGAAUCGUCUGUGAAUCUCAUCACUGUUAGAAAUCCAAGAGAAGAGAUCCUCUUCCCUUAACAUCAUCAGAGGAAAAAUCUGCUUCUUAAUCAAUUAGUUUCAGCGUUUGGUGAGUAGAUCAUCUGCAUUUUAUUUUAUAUUCCUUGUGUGUUGAUAGUCUGAAACUUGUAACUGGAAGGUUAUCAGGAAAGUCACGAGUGGUCCGCGAGCACUCUACAAGACUAUUAAUGUGUUUUAAUAAUUAAUAGUGCAGCUAUUAAUGCAGUUUCAUGUCUAGAUCUUAUAAAUGAUGAAUACGAAGUUUUCAAAAUUAUGAGAACUCCAGUUCCCAUGAUGCUUGUGAACUGGGCAUGCGCACUGGAUAAAAGAAAAAAGCAGCUCUUUAGGGCAAAACUCUCGUCUCAUCAGAUUUGGGCAGUAAUUCUAUGCGUUCAGACCUUAAAUAAUGAAAUAACUGUACAAGCAAAUACAACACAAAAACCAUUUUAAAACAUUCACUUAAAUUAAACAGACAUGGUAAAACCAGAAGAAAUAUAUUUAAGGCUUAGAGUUUGAUUAAUUCAGCCAAAUCAAAUAUCACUUUCAGAUUUGAAGAUAUUUAUCAGGAAUCAUUUUUAAAAUAUUGAGUAUUAUACCACUUCCUGUUUAAAGGCAUAAUAAAAGGCAUCAAAUAUAUUUACCCUACGUGUGAAUGGAAAUGCCGAAAAGUUUAAUGUUUAACCUAAUGUUUAAUGUUGAUCUAAAACAUUUUUAAAACUGAUCGUGUGGUGGUCUAGUGGUUAGGAUUCGGCGCUCUCACCGCCGCUGGUGUAGUGGUAUUUUUAUUAAUCAUAUGUAAUUCUAACCUUUAAAUAUCCUAUAGACUCCUGUUUCUAACGCGUUUUAGCGAAAUGUGGACUUGUCUUGUCUGGGAAGCAUGGAAUUAGUUCAACAGCGAGCUAACCCGCUCUUUACUUCAUUUUGACAUUUUUUUGAAUAAUUGUCGUCCUAUUAUAAAUAAUAUUUUGAAUAAUUGUUCCGUCUCUAUAGUCUCUGUCUCUUUCUCAGUCAACAUUGAGAUAAGACUCCCAGACUGUUACAGAUAGCUAUAAUAUAAACAAAUAACUCAUGCAAGAACAGCAGGCAAGGACAGCCACAGAAAUCUGCAAUGGGCAGAGAAAAUCAUUAUUUUUGGCACUUUCUCACAAUAAUAAAUUUAAUAAGUAAUCUCUUUAUAUUAUUAGGUAAAUUCCAUAUACAUAAAGUCAAAAUGUCCAAGACAGACAACCAAUUCUCAUUAAUACUGUUAAUUGAAUUAAAAAUGUAUUAUCAGUCUCUGUCACAUAUCGAAUCCAACAAAGAGUGCUUAUCAGCUAUUCAAUUUUAUUCAAAUUACAUUCAGUGAAAGUGUUUGUCAUUUCAAUUUGCCCUGUUUUUUUUAUCUCCUUAUCUUUCUUUAAACUUAUUGCUACUUAUGAGGCUAAGCUUAAACAUGUUCCUCCUAAUUUCGAACUAUUGAUAUGAAAUGCUCUGAUUAACUGUUUGCUGAGUUUUAAACCUCCAUACUUUUGCCUUUAAAAACCACAGAGGAUAUGGAAUGGAUAGGCUUUUAAUGUAUUUAGUUAACCAUAAUUUUUUCAGCAAGAAACAGUUAACAAACGUUUACUUGAAUAACUUUUUGUUUAUAAAUCGGAGACUUGGGUUUAUCUUUGUUUAACCAUUAAGAAAAAACUCAAAGAUUAUCAUGAUUAUGAUACAUUGGCUUGUAUAAGUACUCAUUGUCCUUGAACCUUUCCGCAUUUUGUUGCACUGGAACCUGGAACUUAAAUUGACAUGAAACUAUUCAUGUGCAUCCUGUUUAUAAUAAGCAAUACCUCUCUCUCUCUGGAUCCAUGUCAUCCUACAGUCUCUUCUCGAGCAAGGCGUGGUGAGACACUUUACACAAGAUUUACGUAAGAUUAAUGAAUUGAUUGUUUCUUCUGUAAUAUCACAGGUUCCUGCCAUUAAUGAUCUCUGUUCUGCCUUUUUUUUCCACGCACAUGAGGAGAUAGCGUUUGGACUCAAGGUUUCAUUUGACUCUCCUGCUGUUUUUUUUUUUCAGCUGUAAUUCAUAAUGCGCUCUGUGACCUUCUCCCUCCCUCAGGACUCUGUGGUCUGUGUUCUGGUGUCUGCUGAGUCACCAGAAAUCUGCCAAGACACUGACACUUGCGCCUGCUCCAACAUCUGGCGCAUAAGGGCUUUAAGGUUUCCAGAACCAAGCUGCAAUAUUGCAUGGACACUUAAGUAUUUGAACUUUUGAAGUUUUGAACUUUCUCAAGGCUGUCAUUCUAGACACAAAACCUCCUCCACUGCAACAUCCUUUGACCUGGACUGACGCUAUGGUGGUCGCUUAUCACUCCCUCAGAAGCACCCUUUGUUCCGCCCCUGGGUCACCUGCUCACUUCAAGCCCUUCCACCUCUAUGCCUGUGGACACCGGGGCACAGCCUCUGGGGAACGUGAGGGGGGGGAAAUGCAUCAUUGUGCGUUUUUAUCCAAAACAUUAGACAUUGUUGCUCAAGGCUUACCUGCGUGUCUGGGGGCUGUCUCCGCAUGUGCUUUGAUGGUUUGAUGGUUGUAAAAUUGACAGACCCAUUAAAUUAAUUAAUCAGUAAUUUAAUAGAUAAUUAGAUUAACAUAUGACUGUUUAUUCUCUGUUCUACUAACAAUCUCGAAGUUCGUGUCACAUCCUCUUUUGAUAAUGUAGGUCGCGCUCUCGCACGCCUCCUUAAUUCUCGGGAUGAUAUUUGGGAUGACAUUGAUAUUGUCUGUCUAAAAAAUCGUACAUACUACUAGUAUCAGGUCUGAUCUCUUCCCUCCAGCCCUCUAGGGAUCUUUGUUGAUGGUUCUUGUUCUAAACCCUCAGACGGUUCUUGUUUUAUAAUUUAUAAUAUUAUCACACCUCUGUGGUUAUUCUGUGUGUUCAGUCAAUAUCAGCCUGAUAUUCUGCAUGAGACAUACGCUCUUCCUUUCUCAUUUGAUUUUUGUCAUCUUGAUUGUGGACAAAUUCUCUAAAUGGGUAGAAGUUUUUCCCUGUUCUCGAGAGAACACGAAGGUUUUCGUGACUCAUUUUGAUACUUAGUUAUAAUAAUAAUAAUAAUAAUGAUACAUUUUAUUUAUAAGUGCCUUUCAAGGUACCUAAGAACACUGGACAGUAAAAAAGAAAAACAAACAAUAAAAGCAGAACAACAAAACAACAACAAUAAAAUAAUAAGAAAUCAAUAAUAAUUAUUAUUAUUGUUAUGGGGUUUCAAAUGCCAUAGACUCAGACAAGGGUACCCCUUUCACCUCAAAGGUCACACAAAACCUUUGUAAGUAUCUCUAAACUCUAAUCUCCAAACUAAACUGGUGUUUUCACAUUCCUAAAUCCUCUGGUAUCGUAGAACGUACUAAUCGAACAUUGAAAGACAAAUUAAUUAAGGUCAUGCAGGACACAGGUUUGAUUCUGUAAUCCAUAAGUCAUUCUGGCUGAAAUUCGUGUGACACCAAGAAAUUAUUCUCCCCUGGAAGAAGGGAACUCCGGCUCCGGGUACCUCUGAUUUGAAAAUGCAUAUGGAUGAGUAUUCUGCAGCCCUUAUAGAUAAGUUGCAUAAAAUUUGUACCAAGGUCAAUAAUACAAUAUUAUCUCCACCACACACCCCUUUCACGUGGGAGACAGGUGCUGGUGUGAUUUUUUAAAGUAAUGAUUUGGACAAUUGGGAAAACAAUAUAAUGGGCCUGCAGACAUAGUCGCCAUUACUUCUACUGCUGUUUUAACUGAUCUUUUUCCACAGUGGAUCCAUGCCACUCGAUUGAAGAAGGCUCCAUAACAAAGUUGUGUUAUAAUAACAAGUUUGCUGCUAUUAACACUUUUUGUGUCCCUAUCUAGUCUCCCUCUGGGCAGUUUUCUCUCUCUCUCUCUAAGCUCUACACAGAUUCGACUGAGAAUCCUCAAGUGAACAAAGAGGGGAAGAGAUCUUGCGCCCAGUUUGGAACCACCCCACCUCACUACAACCAUGAUGGUCCACAUCGCGGGUUUCGUGACUUCAUCAUUGCUCGGGGCAGGGCUACCCGCCCGAGCCUUCAGGACCACAUCAUUGCUCGGGGCAGGGCUACCCGCCCGAGCCUUCAGGACCACUUCAUUGCUCGGGGCAGGGUUACCCGCUCGAGCUGGACUUCAUUGCUCGGAGCACACUUGCAGGGUUACCCGCUCGAGCUGGACUUCGAGACAACAUCUUCUGGACUAACUUCGCUAACUGGACUGCACAAGCACACACCACACGAAUGUGUUAUGUCUUUCAUCUGAUGCCGUCUUCUACUAUUAUUACACAUCUCUAUGCUUUGACGAAGUGACUGUGCGAAUAAACUGGCAUGUGAAACCUCUGGUUCCUUGUCUGUUUCUCUCGACCUGAUCAUUCUCGUCCCGGAUCCGAGGGGACUCACGAAGGAAUCUCGGGGUCUCUUUCUGGGUGAACCCCAACAGCAGCGGUGUUUCUGGAUAUUGUUUAUAUCUGGUUUUAACUUGCAUUUGUGGAUGCAGUAAUGAACUGAAGUGUUUUCUGAAGUGUUCCUGAGCCCAUACAGUGAUUCCCACUACAGACACGUGUCUGCUUUUAAUGCAGUGUCACCUGAAGGCCUGAAGAUCACAGGCAUCCAAUGUCAGUUUUCAGCCUUGUCUCUUGCAUACAGAGAUUUCUCCAGAUUCUCUGAAUCUUUUAAUGAUAUUAUGUACCAUAGAUGAUGUGAUCCCCAAAUUCUUUGCAAUUUUACAUUGAGGAACGCUAUUCUUAAAUUGUUGCACUGUUUGCCCACACAGUCUUUCACAGAGCGGUGAACCCCUCCCCAUCUUUACUUUUGAGAGACUCUGCCUCUCUGGGAUGCUCUUUUUAUACCCAAAUCAUGUUACUGACCUGUUGCUAAUUAACCUCAUUUGGUUUUUUUUUUGUUUUUUUUGUAUUACAAAACUUUUUCAGUC